rnacentral:rRNA from 1 species
CAGUAGCCGCGGUAAUACGUAGGGUGCAAGCGUUAAUCGGAAUUACUGGGCGUAAAGCGUGCGCAGGCGGUUAUAUAAGUCAGAUGUGAAAUCCCCGGGCUCAACCUGGGAACUGCAUUUGAGACUGUAUGGCUAGAGUGUGUCAGAGGGUGGUAGAAUUCCACGUGUAGCAGUGAAAUGCGUAGAUAUGUGGAGGAAUACCGAUGGCGAAGGCAGCCCCCUGGGAUAACACUGACGCUCAUGCACGAAAGCGUGGGGAGCAAACAGGAUUAGAUACCCGGGUAGUCCCUGUCUCUUAUAA